rnacentral:tRNA from 1 species
GCGGGUAUGGUUCAGUGGUAGAACAACUGGUUGCCAAUCAGUUGACGCGAGUUCGAUUCUCGCUACCCGCACCG